AUGCUGAUAAUAUUCAUCAAUCUCUUCACUCUUCUCUCAUGUGUCAGUUCAGCUAAAGUUGUCACACAAAAACCCUCAGUACUGAGAGAAGAAAAAGGAAAAUCUGUGACUAUGGACUGUAAUAUAGGAAAGUAUCAGGGCCAGUAUGUUUCUUGGUAUAAACAGCUCCCAAAUGCAGCUCCUCAGUAUGUGUUGAGACACCAUCCUUCUGAAAGCUCUCCUAAUGAGUAUGGUGCCAGUUUUUCAUCCAACCAUUUCACAUCUAAAAAAAUGUCAAAUAUUGAUCAUCAGCUGAUCAUCAAUAAUAUAGAUGUGAGAGAUUCAGCUGUGUAUUACUGUUACACAUGGGACAACUCUGCUAGUGAGGGAGUAUCACAGUGA